UGGGGGAUAUUGCACAAUGGGCGAAAGCCUGAUGCAGCGACGCCGCGUGGGGGAUGAAGGCCUUCGGGUUGUAAACUUCUUUUGCUCUGAACAAGGCAUGCUAAUGGGUGUGUUGAGUGUAGGGGUUGAUUAGCGCCGGCUAACUACGUGCCAGCAGCCGCGGUAAUACGUAGGGCGCGAGCGUUGUCCGGAAUUAUUGGGCGUAAAGGGCUUGUAGGUGGCUGGUUGCGUCUGUCGUGAAAGCUCAUGGCUUAACUGUGGGGUUGCGGUGGGUACGGGCUGGCUUGAGUGCAGUAGGGGAGGCUGGAAUUCCUGGUGUAGCGGUGGAAUGCGCAGAUAUCAGGAGGAAUACCGGUGGCGAAGGCGGGUCUCUGGGCUGUUACUGACACUGAGGAGCGAAAGCAUGGGGAGCGAACAGGA
rnacentral:rRNA from 1 species